rnacentral:rRNA from 1 species
CUACGGGGUGCAGCAGUGAGGAAUAUUGGACAAUGGGGGCAACCCUGAUCCAGCCAUGUCGCGUGAGUGAAGAAGGCCUUCGGGUUGUAAAGCUCUUUCGAAUGUGAAGAUGAUGACGGUAGCAUUUAAAGAAGCUCCGGCUAACUUCGUGCCAGCAGCCGCGGUAAUACGAAGGGAGCGAGCGUUGUUCGGAAUUACUGGGCGUAAAGCGCGCGUAGGCGGCUAGAUCAGUCGGGUGUGAAAGCCCCGGGCUUAACCUGGGAACUGCAUCCGAUACUGUCUAGCUUGAGUACAGGAGAGGAGAGUGGAAUUCCACAUGUAGCGGUGAAAUGCGUAGAUAUGUGGAGGAACACCAAUGGCGAAGGCAGCUCUCUGGCCUGAUACUGACGCUGAGGUGCGAAAGCGUGGGGAGCAAACAGGAUUAGAUACCCCAGUAGUC